UACGUAGGGAGCAAGCGUUGUCCGGAAUCAUUGGGCGUAAAGCGCGCGUAGGCGGCCCGGUAAGUCGGGUGUGAAAUCUCGGAGCUUAACUCCGAAACUGCAUUCGAUACUGCCGUGCUUGAGGACUGGAGAGGAGACUGGAAUUUACGGUGUAGCGGUGAAAUGCGUAGAUAUCGUAAGGAAGACCAGUGGCGAAGGCGGGUCUCUGGACAGUUCCUGACGCUGAGGCACGAAGGUCAGGGGGGAGCAAACGGG
rnacentral:rRNA from 1 species